rnacentral:rRNA from 1 species
AUACGUAGGGGGCGAGCGUUGUCCGGAAUGAUUGGGCGUAAAGGGCGCGUAGGCGGCCCGGUAAGUCUGGAGUGAAAGUCCUGCUUUUAAGGUGGGAAUUGCUUUGGAUACUGUCGAGCUUGAGUGCAGGAGAGGUAAGUGGAAUUCCCAGUGUAGCGGUGAAAUGCGUAGAGAUUGGGAGGAACACCAGUGGCGAAGGCGACUUACUGGACUGUAACUGACGCUGAGGCGCGAAAGUGUGGGGAGCAAACAGGAUUAGAUACCCUGGUAGUCCACACUGUAAACGAUGAAUGCUAGGUGUAGGGGGUAUCGACCCCUUCUGUGCCGCAGUUAACACAAUAAGCAUUCCGCCUGGGGAGUACGGCCGCAAGGUUGAAACUCAAAGGAAUUGACGGGG